UCUGUCGCUACAUUCUGAGUUCAACUUCCGUCCAGGGUGACUUUGCUUUUACAUCCUUUCGGGGGUCGAUAAAUUAAGUAUCAGUGACACACUGGGGUCGAUGCAAAAUUGACUAGCCCCCCCCCCCGCUCCUCCAAAACUGCAGCCCUGGUGGCAAAAAUUUGAAACUAUUAUUAUUAUUUAUAACCUCUUUGUUUUGUUUUGUUUUUGUUUUUUUGUUUUUUUCAAAUUUUGUUUUUAAAUUAUAAUUUUUUACCUGGAUCAUUAGUUGUUUGGUUUUUUUUCUUUUGGUUUUUUUUUUUUUUUUCCGGUAUUGAACAACUAGUCUUCCAAUUGUGGGUGAUUCUUCGGUGCGUCAAACAAAAUGAAAUGAUGCUGGCGGGAUGGUCAGAAGAUUGAAUGUAACUUUCCAGAUC